GACGAACGCUGGCGGCGUGGAUUAGGCAUGCAAGUCGAACGGUAUCAUCCUUUCGGGGGUGAGAGAGUGGCGAACUGGUGAGUAACACGUAGGUUAUCUACCCUCAAGACGGGGACAACCCAGGGAAACUUGGGCUAAUACCGGAUGUGAGCAACUUUUAGUUGUUUGAAAGGUGGCGUAAGCUGUCGCUUGGGGAUGAGCCUGCGUCCUAUUAGUUAGUUGGUGAGGUAACGGCUCACCUAGGCAAUGAUAGGUAGGCGGCCUUAACGGGUGGUCGCCCACACUGGGAUUGAGAUACGGCCCAGACUCCUACGGGAGGCAGCAGUCGAGAAUAGUCUACAAUGGUCGGAAGACUGAUAGUGCGACGCCGCGUGAACGAUGAAUCCCUUCGGGGUGUAAAGUUCUUUUAUAUGUGAGCAGUGCUUCUUAUAUUAACAGUAUGGGGAGAGAGAUAUUAGCAUAGAAUAAGCAACGGCUAACUCCGUGCCAGCAGCCGCGGUAAAACGU
rnacentral:rRNA from 1 species